GGAGCACCUUCGUGGUGUGACGGCGUUCCUUUUGUAUAAUGGGUCAGCGACUUAUAUUCUGUAGCAAGGUUAACCGUAUAGGGGAGCCGUAGGGAAACCGAGUCUUAACUGGGCGUUAAGUUGCAGGGUAUAGACCCGAAACCCGGUGAUCUAGCCAUGGGCAGGUUGAAGGUUGGGUAACACUAACUGGAGGACCGAACCGACUAAUGUUGAAAAAUUAGCGGAUGACUUGUGGCUGGGGGUGAAAGGCCAAUCAAACCGGGAGAUAGCUGCUUCUCCCCGAAAGAUAUUUAGGUAGCGCCUCGUGAAUUCAUCUCCUAGGGUAGA
rnacentral:rRNA from 1 species